GGAAUCUUGCGCAAUGGGCGAAAGCCUGACGCAGCAACGCCGCGUGGGUGAAGAAGGCCUUCGGGUCGUAAAGCCCUUUUAUCGGAGAAGAAGGGGGAGCAAUCCCCUUGACGGUAUCCGAGGAAUAAGCCUCGGCUAACUACGUGCCAGCAGCCGCGGUAAUACGUAGGAGGCGAGCGUUGUCCGGAUUUAUUGGGCGUAAAGGGGGUGUAGGCGGCUCGUUUAGUCGGAUGUGAAAUCUCUCGGCUUAACCGGGAUGGGUCAUUCGAUACUGGCGGGCUUGAGGACAGCAGAGGAAAGCGGAAUUCCCGGUGUAGUGGUGAAAUGCGUAGAUAUCGGGAGGAACACCAGUGGCGAAGGCGGCUUUCUGGGCUGUAUCUGACGCUGAGACCCGAAAGCGUGGGGAGCAAACCGG
rnacentral:rRNA from 1 species